UACGGGGGGGGCAAGCGUUGUUCGGAAUUAUUGGGCGUAAAGGGCUCGUAGGCGGUUUGUCGCGUCGGGAGUGAAAACGCCGUGCUUAACACGGCGCUUGCUUUCGAUACGGGCAGACUAGAGGUAUUCAGGGGAGAACGGAAUUCCUGGUGUAGCGGUGAAAUGCGCAGAUAUCAGGAGGAACACCGGUGGCGAAGGCGGGUCUCUGGGCCGAUACUGACGCUGAGGAGCGAAAGCGUGGGGAGCAAACAGG
rnacentral:rRNA from 1 species